rnacentral:tRNA from 1 species
GAGGAUGUAGCUCAGUGGCAGAGUGCUUGCCUAGCAUGUGCAAGGCCCUGGGUUCAAUCCUCAGUGCCCUCC